UUUAAGACUGCCUGCCCACUCCGCCAACUCCUCCCAAAUUGACUCUAAUUCUUCCCUUUAAAAUCCCCACUAUAUCUAUAUGUAAAGUGCUACAUUCCUCAACACGGAACUACUGGCUUAAGCUCUCCUGCCCAUACAUCAGUUCCAAACCAAUUGCAUCUAUGGAUCUACAAGGACACACAUCCAACACAAAUCUCACAACCACUAUCUCCAAAAGAUCCUUUAUCAUACCCCAAGGAUUGCACGUCUGCUUCCUCACAGACUCAAUAUGUCGAGAUAUUAAAGACUACAUGCCAAAAGCACAAUGUUGGGUGCACCCAGGGACAACACUUCUAAGAUCUGCUAUGCAACACAUCAACCACUUUAAGAC